GGUGAGUAACACGUGGGUAACCUGCCUGUAAGACUGGGAUAACUCCGGGAAACCGGGGCUAAUACCGGAUGGUUGUUUGAACCGCAUGGUUCAGACAUAAAAGGUGGCUUCGGCUACCACUUACAGAUGGACCCGCGGCGCAUUAGCUAGUUGGUGAGGUAACGGCUCACCAAGGCGACGAUGCGUAGCCGACCUGAGAGGGUGAUCGGCCACACUGGGACUGAGACACGGCCCAGACUCCUACGGGAGGCAGCAGUAGGGAAUCUUCCGCAAUGGACGAAAGUCUGACGGAGCAACGCCGCGUGAGUGAUGAAGGUUUUCGGAUCGUAAAGCUCUGUUGUUAGGGAAGAACAAGUGCCGUUCAAAUAGGGCGGCACCUUGACGGUACCUAACCAGAAAGCCACGGCUAACUACGUGCCAGCAGCCGCGGUAAUACGUAGGUGGCAAGCGUUGUCCGGA
rnacentral:rRNA from 1 species